rnacentral:lncRNA from 1 species
CCCUUAUUGUAAGUUGAGGCAAGGUAUACAAUUGGUAUUGAAUUGAAGUAAACUAGUGGGCUAUAAGAAGACCGGGUUUCCUCUGUGUUUGCUGGGUCUGCAAGGAAGCAUAAAAUAGUCUCUUGAGCACCGGAGUUAGCCACUGGUAGAUCAGCAGAAUCAUAAGUGGAAAGAGCAGAUACGGGAACUGAUGCAAUCUCUAUAUGAUAUGUGCUAGAUCUAUCCCUAUAACUAUUCUUAUUGAAACAAAUAGAUGAAACAAUAGAUUGAACUCGGGAUGAAACACGAGCAAGAGCAUCUCUUUCUGUUCGCCUAGUACGAAUGGAAUCCCCAGCAAGUAGUGGCCCAUUUGAAUCUUUAGGUGUUGGCUAAAGUCCAGGUCUAGGUAAGGAUGCUACCAGUGCAACUACUACCGGGAUGAAGACUUACUUGCCUUAUACCAGAUGCGGAAGUAUACCACAACACUUCUUUAUUAACCCCGGGCAGCCUACCUUACUUUAGCUACUGAGUCUGGUGCUUCAACUUAGAGAAAGAAGCCUUUCAGAA